UUUUUUUUUUUUUUUUUUUAGUCUUGUGUUUAUUUUCACUCAGUCUGUUUGAGCAUGCAUUGUUUUCAUGUGCAUUCAAUGUCGUAUUAAUUUUCAAAGAAUAGAAGAGAAAAUUAGUUGAAGUUGGUUAAAACUCUACUUCUAGCUAAGAAAGAAUUCGUUUCAGAUAAUCCUUUUACUAUUAGAAUUCAGCUCCAUGUCUAAUUCUAAUCUAUUUGUACUCCUUUUCUUUAUCAACUUCAACAUGGUCAAUUAAUCCUCACUGUAUAAUGCUUCUUUUGCACCCUAGUUUCCUCUCGAUUUCUAGGAGUCUUCUCUCCUCAAUUCAUCCAAGAAAACAUGGGCUACAUACCCUUAGAAAUCAUAGUAAAAUCAGCAGAAGUUUCCAAGAAUGUCAAUCUUUUCUCCAGAAUGCAUCUUUACGCAACUGUAUCCCUUCUAGGAGACGACGAUCCUUCCACCUCAAAGCAGAAGAAAACAAAGGUUGAUGAACACAGCGGGUCGCAUCCCUUUUGGUGGUUUCCAAUGAAGUUUCAAGUUGAUGAAUCAAAGUUGCAGAAAGACAAUCUCAUGCUUUUGUUCCAACUGAAGUGUAGUCGAAAUUUUCGUGGUGACAAAACUGUUGGUGUUCUUACCCUUUCGGUAAAAGAAUUAUAUGACUCUAGUAAAACCCAAAAGUUCCCUACCAAUGUUGCUCAUACCAUCAAUUCUAGGAAUUCUGGAAGACUUCAUGGUGUGUUGUAUUUCUCGUACAUGUUUUGCUGUGACAAUGGCAAUGAAACUACUUAUAUCGAUCAGAGACAGAAGAGUGAUCAGAGUUAUGAUCACCAGAAGAUGGAUCAAAAUUCAAGAAACGAUACUAUUUUGUCAUCUGCCCCGGUGCAAUGGACUGAUCCUACACCUUCAGCACCAUAUAUUGCCAUGGAAGAUGAUGAAUAUUUUUUUGCAACAAGCCCUAUUGAUUCAUUGCCAAAUUCACUAGUGAAUGGCCGUAGUUCUGGAUCCAGUAUUACGCCUUCAGCACCAUAUUUGCCCAGUUGAGAAUGGAUGUUCUUCAAUUUUCUAAGGAAGACAAACUCUACAAAAAAUUAUUGUUAUGUUUAAGAUAUUCUUGACGAAGAAGCCCUUUUCCAUUCCCUUUAAGUUGAUCUAAUUGGGAGAAUGAGUAUAAUAGGUUGAGAAGUUUAUGCCACUUGAAAGUUUGUUGUGUACCUUAAACAGUACAAUUUGUUAGGGUAAGUUCAACAAACCAAUUCUUUUUACUUAUCUUCUUAGAAUUUCUGGUCUUCUUGUAUGAUGCCAAGUAUUGCAAUAGCAACCAUGAGUUUCUUUCUUUCUUUCUUUCUUUUUCAAUUGUAAUUUUUGUGGAAAUUUUUUUUUUAAUAACUUCUUCCAUUAGCACUAAUGCACAAGUCAAUUUUUCUCAACUAUCAAUUGCCUUGUCUUCGUAUACGAUCUACAAAGGACAACACCAAUUGACAAAGGAAUUCUAUGAAAGGAGUUUUUUUUUUUUUUGAAUCAAGUUUGUGUAUUUUUAUGUUCCAUAUGUUUUUUUAACCAGUAUUGUUUGAGCAAAUAUGAAUGAAACCUCAAUGUGCAAGGAUUUCUAGUUAUUUGCUAGUACUAAGAACGAAACAAAUUAGGUUUGAGUCUCCUAGUAGACAUUUUAUAGUUAGUACAAAAAGAAAGAUUAGAGGAGCAGCUUGCUUAUAUAUCAUGUUGUCUUGAAGAAUCUGUUGUCAUCUGCAGAAAAUAUAGAUCACACAAAGUAAUUUGCUCAUCAGUAAUAUUCUUUUUUUUUUUUUCAAUCUUUCCGUCUCUCUCCAGAUUCUUUCCACCUCCAACCGUUAGGCAUAAGUUCGAAUUCUAAACUUGAUAGUCGAAAAGACUCUUAACAACUCUUUCCAGCUCUCUCCUCCUCAUCAUCUUCCAUCACAACCUACAUUGCGUUCGCUUAAUCUUUAUAUUCUUUUUGCUUUCCAAAAAAUGUCUAUAUUCAUUAGAAAAAGCAACAAGAUAAAAAGGGGAAAAAACACAAAAAAAAGGGCUCUGUUUGGAUUAGUUGUUUUUGGGGUUGUUUUUCAAAAACAGCACUGUAGCAUUUUGUUUUUGAAAUACAAGUCCGUUUGGAUUAGUUGUUUUUUGAGUUGUUUUUCAAAAACUAUAUGAAAAACUUUUAUUGUAGAUGUUUUUUGGAUUAUUUUUAGAGGUAUUUUUAAAACAUAUUUUUGGGUAUUUUUAUAAUUUAUAAUUUUUAUAUUUUUAUUUUUAUAUACAUUUAUACAUUUAUAAUACAUUUAUAAAUAUUUAUAAAUAAAUAUACUUAUAUAUUCGCUAAAAAAUAUAUAAAUGUAUUAUAAAUGAAUUAUAAUAUAUAUAUUAGAUAAUAUAAAUACAUUUAUAAAUAUAUAAGUGAUUAUUAUUAUAAAUUAUAAAUUAUAAAUGAAUAUUAUAUAAAUGUAUAAAUUACAAUUUAUAAUUUAUAAUUUUUAUAUUUUUAUAUAAAUAUACAUUUAUGCAUUUAUAAUACAUUUAUAAAUGUUUAUAAUUAAAUAUAUUUAUAUAAAAAUAUAUAAAUGUAUUAUAUUAUAUAUAAUACAUAAUAUAAAUAUAUUUAUAAAUGUAUAAGUGUAUAUUAUUAUAAAUGUAUAAAUUAUAAAUGAAUAUUAUAUAAAUGUAUAAAUUAUCAAUUAUAAUUUAUAUAUUUUUAUAUAAAUAUACAUUUAUACAUUUAUAAUACAUUUAUAAAUAUUUAUAAAUAAAUAUAUUUAUGUAUUUAUAUAAAAAAAUAUAAAAAUAUAUUAUAUUAUAUAUAAUACAUAAUAUAAAUAUAUUUAUAAAUGUAUAAGUCUAUAUUAUAAUAAAUGUAUAAAUUACAAAUGAAUAUUAUAUAAAUGUAAAAAUUAUAAUUUUAUUAAUAUAUAUUAAUAUUAAGUAUAAAUGUAUUAAUAUAAUUAAUAUAAAUGUACAAAUGUAUUAAUAUUAUGUAUAAAUAUAAAAUUAAUAUUAUGUAUAUUAAUAUAAAUGUAUAAAUGUAUUAUAUUAUAUAUAAUACAUAAUAUAAAUUUAUAUUAUAAAUAUACAUUAAUAUAUAUAUAUUAUGUAUAAAUGUACAUUUAUAUAAAUGUAUAAUAUAUAUAUAAUAUAUAAUAUAGGUUAUAUUAUAUAUAAUUUAUAUAAUAUAUAAUAUUCAUAUAAAUAUAUAAAAAUAUUUAUAAUAUGUAUAAAUAAAUAUAUAAAUAUUUAAUAUAUAUAAUAUACAUUAAUAUUAAUUAUAAAUAUGGUGUUUAUAUAAUAUUUCAAUUUGUAAUAUUUAUUGUAUAUUUCAUUAUAUAAAUAUUCAUUUAAUAUAUAAAUAUAUAAUAUAUAAUUUUCAAUUUGUAUAAUAUACAUAAUAUUGUAUAUAUAAUAUAUUAUACAUAAUAUAAUACAUUAUACAUAAUAUACAUUAUUACAUAUUAUGUAUAUUAUAUAUUAUGCAUAACAUUAUUAUACACAAUAAUGUACAUAAUAAUAUUGUACAUUAAUAAUGUAUAUAUUAUAAUAUAAUGUACAUAAUAUAUUAUGUAUAAAUAUUUACACAUUUAUGUAUACAAUAUUACAUAUUAUGUAUAUUAUAUUAUAUUAUGUAUAAUAUACAAUAUUAUGUAUAAUAUUAAUUUAUAUAAAUAUUUAUAUAAUAUAAUAUAUAUAAUAUUUCAAUUUAUAUUAAUAUAAUAUUAUAUCUAUAAUAUACAUAAUUGAAAUAUACAUAUGUAGUUGUUUUUGAUAUAAUGUUUGGAUAUGAUGUUUUUAGAGUUGUUUUGGAAAUACACAUUUACUGUAGCAUUUGGAAUGUGAAAAACAGUUUUUCAAAAACAACCCAAAAAACAGGGGAUCCAAACACACCCGAAGAUAUCGUAAAAUUGCACCCUUAAGCGCAAGCCCAAAGGAAUAGUAACCUACUGUAAAAUAACAUCAACAAUCACUUCAGUGCCAGAGAAAUUGUCCAAGGACAAAAGAGGACAAAGAGGAGUUCGGUCCAACAAGAAAUUCCACAAUUAUAUAAGUCCAAAUUUCUCCGUUUAAAAAAAAAAAAACCACUUGAUAGUUCAUACUAUCAGUCACAGACAAUAAUCAUUACAAUCAGGAGGUAUAGAGAAUAUGCAGAAUAUUACUAUAACUUUAAUAACAGAAACACCCUUAGAAAUGACGGAGAAUAUGUAGAAUAUUUCAACUUAAAUAACAAAAACACCCCUCAAUAGGCUGAUUUUAGAUAAUUAUUAUUUAACUUUUUACAAGAAAUACAUGCUUAAGGAAGGGACAACAAAAAAAAAAAAAAAUCUAACACAAUUUCCUAUCAAACUUUCUUGGGCUACCAAAAGCUACAAAAUUCUUAAGAUUUUCCAAAUGAAUUUUCUUUAUAGGCAUGGUCAAAGCACAAGUGACCCAAUUUAUGACAAAAAAAAAUGUUGUUACCUUGCUCUAAAAUAGGUAAAAAAAAAUAUUGAGUUUUUUCUUUCUUUUGUGAAAAGGAUAGAAAAUAGUUUUAAGGGCAAAUGUGCUUGACUACUUGCUCAAACAGUACCAAGGAGAUUUAUCACUUCAUUUUGAAGUUUGAACUAUCAGAAACCCUUGUGAAAAAAAAAAACUAGCUAACCAAGUCAUUAAAUAGACCAUCAUAUUCUUCAAAAACUCCACUUAUCAAUUAACACUAGAAUUUUGCCCGUAUCUUAGCACAAUUUUGUUUAUUUAUUGUGAAUUUAUACAAAUAUGAAUAAUUUAAAUACAAAAAUUAACAACAAUCCUAUAUGUCCAUUCAUAGUAACUUUAAAAAAUUAACGUAUUCUAAAUGUUCAAUUAUUUACUAAUUUUUAAAAAUUUGUUUACAUACUUUCACUAUAAUAUGAUAGUAUAUAUUAAAUAAUGUAUCCCAUAACAAAAACUUGGUAGAUAUUCUUUUUUCUAUAAAUAUUCGUUUAGAUAAUUUAAAUUUUUAUAAUGACCAUAAACCUCGAACUAUAUAUUCAUAUUUAAUUAAGCAGAAAAGAUCCAGCAAUUCUUUUUUUCCAUCAAUAAAUAUUUAGUUGCCAACAAUGUUGGUAAUUCUGUCAGUAUAAUAAUUAAUUCUCUUGUUUACACUAAGUUAAUUCAAAAUUAAGGGAAGAGAUGAUGAGAAAUAUAAAUACUAAUCAACAAUAUGGUGAUGAAAGGAAGUAAUUUAUGAAAUAUGUAAGAUUUUAAUAACUGUAAUUUGAAAAGUGCUUUACUAUAGUUCUAUGUAAUAAUUUGAUAGAAAGCAGAUAUGAUUAAGAUAAGAUUAGUUAUUUUUUAAAAGUUAUUUUAGAUAUCAUUAAGAUAAGAUUAGUUAUUUUUAAAAUUAGGUAUAAUUUUAAACAUAUAUAAUAUAAUAUUCAAUAUGGGUAAAAUCCAAGUGAGCCACAACCCGUUAAUUCUCUUCAAUUAGGCAUGCCACGUAAGAGUGAGAAACACUGUGAUUAAAAUAGUUACUUUCAUAUAUAUAUAUAUAUAUAUAUAUAUAGAUUUGAGCAAACUUGCUUACUAGACAUUUAAAUCAUAUGGCCUUAACAAUUAACAACCCAGCAUUAAUAUACGAAGUGAAAUAUCAACACUAGACUCCAAAGCAUAUAAUAUGAGUCGUAUAAGACUAACUUCAUCUGCGAAAGAGUGAAAAAAAAAAAAAAAAAUCGGAGAUGGUUAUAAAGUGGAGCAUUUUCCUCUUUAUCUUCAUCACUUAAUAUGCUUAGUUGUCAUCGUAUUUUAUGUUUUUUUCCUUAACAAAAUAUUACACUUAAUCACUUACAAAAUUCUGUUUUAACAAAGCAUUAAAUUCACGUCACUUACAAUUAACAAAAUGUAUCAUAUUUUCUCUUACGAAAUAGAGAAUUUAUUUAGCUUUGAAUCCGUAAUUACGCAAUUUUCCCAUUCCCAAAUUAGACAAGAUUUAGUACUAAAUUAAGUAAUUACUACUAUUACUUGUUUCCAAAUUAAGGAAUUAGUUUAGCACACUCCACUUGUCCAGUUGUCCUAGUUCCACCAUUUUUUUGUUGAUUUUAUUUUCCUUCUUUACUUCGAACUCCUGAGCUGGUCUCUGCUUCCUCCCACGAAGAGAGGAGGGGUCCCAAUUCCCACCCCAAACUCGUUAAGAAACCUCCGAUUCGCCUUUUUCUCAAUCAUUCGAUCAAUGACCUCCGCCGUCUCUUCCUCCUCUCCUUGGCUUCUCCCCACGCCACCUCCUGCUCCCAGCCCCUCCAAUAUGGCCCCACCAAACCCCCCUCCAGCUCCUCCUCCACCGCCAUCCUCCUCCUCCCACGACCGCGGCCACGAGGAGGAGGAGGAGGAUUCCUCCUCAAUUGCCUCAUCCGUCUCGGACUUCUCCGACAUCUACACGGCUUCCACCGCCACCACAAUUCAAACGCCCCAAAACCCUAACCCUACUACACCCAACUCCACCACCACCGCCUCCGCAGCCCAAUCAUUGCCUCCCCCAACUCUGCUCCACCUCUCCUUCAAUCAAGACCACGGCUGCUUUGCCGCCGGCACCACCUCGGGCUUCCGCAUCUACAAUUGCGACCCUUUUCGGGAAAUCUUCCGCCGGGACUUCUCCUCGUCCUCCUCCUCCACUGCCUCUGCUGUGGUAGGAGGUGGAAUUGGGGUUGUUCAGAUGCUCUUCAGGUGUAAUAUUUUAGCACUGGUUGGUGGCGGGCCUGACCCCCAGUACCCAUUGAAUAAAGUAAUGAUCUGGGAUGAUCACCAAGCUCGGUGUAUUGGAGAAUUAUCGUUUCGAUCAGAGGUUAAGUCUGUUCGGCUGAGACGGGAUCGAAUUGUGGUGGUUUUAUUGCAGAAGAUAUUUGUUUACAACUUUGCGGACUUGAAGCUGAUACAUCAGAUUGAGACUGUGAUGAAUCCAAAAGGGCUUUGUGAGGUUUCUCAUGUUUCUGGGUCAAUGGUGCUGGUUUGUCCCGGUUUGCAAAAGGGACAGGUUAGAGUGGAGCAUUACGCCUCAAAGAGGACGAAAUUUAUAGUCGCUCAUGACUCCAGAAUAGCGUGUUUUGCGCUCACUAAUGAUGGGAGGUUGCUUGCUACCUCGAGUAGUAAGGGGACUUUAGUCCGAGUUUUCAAUACUCUAGAUGGAUCACUGCUUCAGGAGGUAUAUUUAUGAACUUGUUUUUUGUCUUGGGGUUUGAAUAGUGCUAACUGGAUUUGCAUGUAGCCAUUUAAAGCUCAAAUGAUUGAGUAACUAAUCCAUUCUUCUCUAGGCAGUUUGUAAAAGUAGUCUUGACAAAAGUUAGUAGCUUGAUACAAGACAGUGGCCUUGCGCAAACACAUCUUAGAUAUGGAAAGAUAUCAUCCCAGGUAGCUUAGUUUGUGGUAUUAGAAUCCAGAAAUUGUUUUUCUUUCUAAGAUUGACUUGAUACUUAAAGAUGCUAAAGGUUUUUCGGCUAAUUGAUCCAGAAGCCUAUAGAGGCAUUUCAGAGCGUUUACCAGCUUGGCUAGAAGUUGAUAACAGGUUUUUGGUGUGUUUGUUUGUCUAUGAGUUGCAGUUUCAUGUGAAAUCGUCUCUAUGCAUGAAUAGUGAAGAGUUCAUUCAGGUAUAGAUACAGUACAGUCUUUUCUGGCCUUAAGUGGGAAUGCCAGGGUAUUCCUGAUUAAUAUUCGUGUAAAACAGAAAGUAAGCAACCUGAUAUCAUCAAUCAUAUCAUUAUGUUACAAUCUGAAGUAACUCAUAUGGUGCAUAUACGUGGCAAAGUUUUUUUUUUUUACAUCCUGUACCUUUAGGAGCUCAGAGACUUCCAAAUAGGAGAUAAUUCAUUCUCAGAUAUGGGGAAUUUUGGGUUGAUACUCUACAGCAGAUUUGGCCUACCACUUUGACUAGGCGAAAACUAGCACAGUGAUCAUAAAUGUCUUAGGGUAUCAAAUAUGUAGACCAAGAUGGAGCUUCAUGGUUACAACUGUUAAGAUUGUUUGAGUGGCUGCCCUAAAGGAAGGAGGGUUUACCUGAUGAAUAAUUGUUGAAUUAUUGACUUUGACCAUUCUUGACAGAGAAUAGCAGAUGUUUCUCAUGCACGCUUGCAUUGUCAUUUACUGUUCCAUCACUUGUUGCUUGGCGGAAUUAACUGCUUGGAUGGUUAAAUAUCGGAGUUUAUAGCAUGAAAUAAAAAUUUAUACCUUUGCACUUGUUCCUCUCAGUUUUAAGUAAAAAUGAUACUAGAUUAUUUGAUAUCUUGUUUGAAAUUUAUAAUCAAGAAUGGUGAAACUUGUGCCUGUAAGAAUGGGGUCAUUUGCAUCCAAUUAGUGGGAAAGUAUUUGAUGGGAGGAUAAUGUAUCAUAGUUAAAAGACAAGCCAAGGAGUGAACUUGGUUUUUGCUGUAUUCGAUAUAAGGGCUUUUCUAAUUACUAUUCAAUUAACAUGGCCAGUUCAUAGACACUCAACCCUUUCCUUAUUGAUUCUUUGUUCUUAAGCUUUAACUUUGUGCGCUUACUCAAAUUCAGGUGAGGAGAGGAGCGGACAGAGCAGAGAUUUACAGCCUUGCUUUUUCUUCGUCUGCCCAGUGGCUAGCUGUGUCAAGUGAUAAAGGAACUGUACAUGUCUUUAGCCUAAAGGUUGAUUCUGGAUCUUUAGGAAGUGAUAGAUCACGUGGAGCAGCGGAACCAAACAAUGCAUCUCCAACUGCAGUUUCACAUCUCUCCUUCAUAAAAGGUAGUAAACUCUUCCUUCUAAAUUUUGUGAAUGAUAGCAUCAGGGAAAGUUGUUGAGAAAAUUAUAAGAAUCAUCAGUAAUUUAGCAGAGUACAUGCCUCUAGUCGAAGAAACCAUUAAGGGUCCGUUUGUUUCGGGUGAAAAUGUUUUUCAGGAAAAUAUUUUCCUAAUUUCCCGUGUUUGGUUGCACAAAAGUUACUGAAAACAUUUUCCUAUGUAAAAUAUUUUCACUCAUCUUAUGGAAAACAACUUCCCUUCCAAACUUACUGAAGUUGUUUUCCGAAAUGCAUGCAUCCGGCCUGUAGUAUGUUCCAAACUUACUGAAAACAUCUUGUAGUAUGUUCUUUUUUUUUUUUAGUGUAAACAGGAGAACUCGAACCCAAGACCUCUUCCUUACAUUCCCUCCCCCGUACCACCCAACCCAACCCAACCCUCCCCCUAAUAUAUUCAAAAUAAAAAAAUAAAACCUCAUCCUGCUCAUCCUAUGCUAGUAAUUAAUUAUGUAUAAUAGAGACAUUUUUUUCUAGAGAAACUUUCAGCAGUGAGAGUGCAAGAUAUAUGUCACAAUAAGCAUUGCAUGUGAUUGAUAUUUGACACUAAAUGGCCAGCAAUUUGUUUAUUGCUUAAGGAGAUAUUUUUUAUUCAUAUAUACAUUUCUCCAAGAUUUUUUAAAGUUAAACAAUGAGAUAAAUUUUCUUAUUUUGCAUGGGAAGAAGUAUGUAGUUAUAAUGUGUAGAAAGUAAAGAUAGAGAUAAAAGUGAAAAUAUUUCAAAAGUUAAACAAACACCAGAAAAAUGAAGUAAGAAAAUAUUUUCAAUAAGCUAACCAAACACCUGAAAAUGAUGAAAGGGAAAUGAUUUUCAUGGAAAAUUACUUCCACGGAAAAUAUUUUCCCAAGGAAAACAUUUUACUUCCAACCAAACAGACCCUAAGUGUAACAAAUUUCCACUCUUUAUUAUGAUUGAAGUCUUUCGGGCCUUUAGGAUACUUUUGAUCUUGAAUCUGGAAGAAGGAUAGGCAAUUUAUAUAGAUCAAAAGAGCUCUCAAAGACAGGCUGAUACCAUUGUAUUACUAUUAGAAGCAUUGGCUGCAUGUCUUUUUGUUUUUGUUGGUACUUCCUAUGAAAGGAAAAUAAAAACACAUCUCUGUCCAAGAUAAGGUCACAUUGCAUUGUUGCUAAUGGACUAACCUUUGCUCAUUUAGUUUCAGUUAUUGAAGGGUGGCAGAAAAAAAUGUUAUCAGAACUUUUAUAAGCAUCUUUAUUGUGCUGAAUUUUCCUAAUGUUUUUUCUUCCGCUAUUAAAUCUUGUCGGAGUAUAUGUUCACUGCCAUAUCCAACUUUAAAUAAUUAAACAACCAGAGUUCUGUCAAGUUUUGACUCUAUUUGAUCAGGCCAAUUGUUCUUAACUGAAGACUAUUUUCCUUGCCAUCUGACAGUGGCAAAUAAGACCCAUGCCUUAAUAAAAUUCUAAUCUGGGCCAUAGUUACCAAGUUCCUGUUCAAUUCCAGGACUUCUAUAGUAAGUGUUGUGAAGCAAAGGCACAAUAGUGUUGCAGACAAAAUAAAGAAGGUUAUGAUUCGUUGACUUACAUCUCUUGGGUCUUAUUUCGCAGGAGUUUUACCAAAGUAUUUCAGUUCUGAGUGGUCAGUGGCUCAAUUUAGGUUGGCGGAAGGCUUACAGCACAUUGUUGCUUUUGGCCACCAGAAGAACACUGUUGUAAUCCUUGGCAUGGAUGGAAGGUAUGAUUAUGCUUUUUCAUUAUAUGAGUUUGUAAAACCAUAUAAAUUAGGUCUGUUUGGUUAAUAGCCUUUUUUGGACGUCGUCAUUAUCUGGUUCUUGUAGCAUUAUUAACCUUUUAAGUUCCUUAGCAUGGUAUGGUCAACCGAGAUAAUCAAAUAAAAGUAUCAUACUAUUGCACCACAUCAAAGGUAAAAGUUACAGGUUCUGCAGCAACUUAGACAGGAUAUCCUGAUAUUUAGGAUCUAUUACGGCUACAACUGCAGACAGAUAGUUGCUUGUUAAAUUAUUUGUGUUGCAAGCAUUUUAAUUGGUAUACAUGGCAGCCUUAUUUUGUUUUAGAGCCAAGUCCAUGUUUCGGUCUUAACUUUCAUAAAUUUGCCUGAUCUUUUGUAUGGUUUAUAAUUGAGAAUACUCUAUGACUUCUCUCUGAUCAUUAAUGUGUUUUCUGAUGCUAUUAAGCAUAUUGUCCUUUACGGAAGUCUUUGAUGCAAUUCAGGUCAUCUUGCCUGAUUGAUUAUAUCUAUGUUUAUCUGUGAAAUCUGUUUUCUGGAAUAGCUAGGUGUUGUGUUUUAUGGUAGAUAAGAUAAAAUUAGCAGUCAAAGGAUAUACACAAGACACGAUAUAGAAUGCUUUUAUUCUUACGAUUGCCUCCUUGUGGCUAUACAGAGGUUUCUCCCUCUCCCUUGGUGUGAAAGACUCUUCAAUUGUAGCAUGCGACGGUCUUGUGAAUUUCACUGAAUAUUUUAGAGAUUGUUUGCUCCCUUUUUGAUCCUGGUUUUCGUUUGAAUCAGCUGGUCUUCAGAACUAACCAUGUGGACAUUCUUGCAAAUGCAGUUUCUAUAGAUGUGAGUUUGAUCCAGUGACAGGUGGAGAAAUGACCCAGCUAGAACAUCACAAUUUCCUCAAGCCAGUAGAAAGUUUCUGAAGUUAAAAACAGAGAGAUUUUCUGGCACCUUUUCUUGUGUGAGCAUGGUUGGUAUUUGUAAAAAUAAUCAUUUGAAAUUUCUUGCCGAGACUGAAUAAGUUGUAAAUAUCUGUAGCUAAAAUUGGUCUGGAUGUAUAUAGCUAGCAGUGUAUAAAUUAUGAUCAUGGGGGUUUAUGCGAUUAAGAAUCAGGCAGAUGUGGCUAGCAGAAUAGUUCCUUGAGUAUAUUAAUGAUCUCAUUUGAGUCCCAAACGUGUAUUUAUGGUCCCUGAACAUUUAUGUUUCAGUGACAAAAUGCUAAUUUGGCUCGAAACCUUCAUUGUUAUUCAAGUCAUCUAGUUAAGGUCAAAAAUGAAAAUGGCCAGAAAGAUGAUUGUUAGAGGGGCAAAUUUUGCACUGAAAAAGUUUUCGAGAAGCUGAGUUGAAAGUCAUGGCUCAGUCCUUGGGAAAAUUUUAUUGAGAAGAUACGGGAAAGUCGUUUAACAGCAAGCGGAACGCAUCAGACAUUUUCCCCUCAAUUUUGAGAUAUUUAUUGGUAAAUUGGUACCCUAAAUUUCGAUUUUAGUGCAUUGCAUCUCAAUCCCAUCUCAUUUUUUUUUAAAGCAAAAUCUAACGUUUCACUGAAUAUCAUGAACGUUUGUACGGAAGUCAGAGGCUUAUAUAUAUGGACUCGGGGCAGGGACGGUUGCACCUGCAACCGUCCCUGGCAAAUUCCCUCUUCAUCAACAGCGCGUAACUUCUUUUGUUCACCGUGUAAUUUUUUUUCCACAGAUUGUAUUUUCACAACACAUAGUGGUGGGUCCCACACUUGACGCGAAAAUCGAGUUACCAUUUGUUAUCUGAGCCGCACAUUUUUUCAUGGUCCAAUCUGGACCAUGAACCGUGCAGGGACGGUCGGGGACACCGCGCGGAUGCGCGGUGGAUGGAUAAUUAUGCCCAAAUAUAUAGUUGCAGUGUUAAAUACAAAAGGAGCUUGUCAAGCGGAAUAUAUAAUUUUGCAAGUGAGAAUGAGAAAUAGUUGUAGACUGCAUAUAAGCUAACUAUGGACAAGAUUAAACAUAAAUAGUUGUUUGAAAAGGUCGCUUGGCACAUUUCUUGUAUAUUUGAGCAUUUCAAAUUAAGGUAGAUGAUCUCAAUCGACGUGAAAGUGAAAUUUAGAAUAAUUCGAUAAAAGAAAAGAAGUGAACAAUAUAAGAGUUCAUAUAAUCUACGUAAAUUAUUCAAGUUGACACUAAAGUUUGAGCAUGCCCAAGAUUUAAUGGCAUCGACAAAUAAUAUAUAUAAAAUGUUGACACUAAAGGUUGGAGUUUUCCAAAUGAAAAGAAAACGUCAACCUGAUUACAGCAUACAAAUGUUAUGCAUUAGAUAAGUUUUAAGUUGCAAUGGACCAAUGAUAUGCCUUAGAAAGCAAGAACGUCUUAUUUAGCAAGCCUCGUAGAGUACAUUGAAAAGAAACAAACAAAUACAUCGAAAAUGCAAUGCUUAUAUCAAUUGGUAAAGAAUAACAAACACAAUCCGAGGAAGAUAUUUACUUAGAUACAUCAAAGUUGUUGUAUUCCUAUUAUGGAGUACAGUUAGAACAUGUUAUACCAUGGGAAUUGACCAUCUACACCAUCCUUAUCAAAGGUGAGGAAAGUGUAGGUGGAACUUCUUUUAUCACGAACAGAGACUAAUGUUUCUCCAGGCUACAAUUGAUGCUCAAUCAGAAAGAUAUCCCAGCUAUCUGCAAACUGCCUCUCACGCAUUGCAAUUGUCAUUGUUUUCCUUCCAGUUCUCGAAGUAAUUGAAGGCGUCAGGUCACUAUGUAUGAAGUAUCCAACAAAUCUUGGAACUUUCUGUUGUUGUUUAGAGAAAAUUAUGAACGUGAUAUAAUAUGAAUGGUAAGAAUGAAAUGAAAAAUACCCCAAACUUACAAAUUUAUAGUUGUUUUGUUUGGUAACUACUUGAUAGAAGCACACACCUUCAGGUAAGUUUUGAACAAAAUUUGGUUCAUCGAUGAUGAUACUUGUGCCGUAUUAAUCUUUGUCUAGAGUUCACUAAAAUCAAAUUAUGUAUACUUGAGGUAAAAAACAUAUGGGGAAAAAAAAUAUACCAAGUUCAAAACAAAAUUGAGGACGAACUUUAAACCUAUUUUGCUUACUGUCUGCAGCUUUCCCUUAUUGUGGACUGAAUCAAGAUUUAAAACAACUUUUCCCUUAGUGUAUAAUAAGCAUAUUCCCUUGUUGUAUACAUGAAUCAAUUUCACUAAUUUUAUCAUUUAAACUGGAACUCUAUAGUCAUGUCUUCUCAAUUCAGAAUUUUUCUGACGCAUCUUCAUCUGAAGAAGGCAUCACAGAUAAAGUUCAUUUCUUUCCAUUCUCUAUGUUUGCCCAUAUAUAUAGUUCCAUCAAAUCUUAGGAAGCAGGAAAAAAAUGAAAUGCAAGACAUGUAAACCACCCUGUAGGAUAAACGUGAAGUAGCAUGCAGGAUAAAAGAGAAUCAGAAAAAAUGUUUCACAUCAACUAUCACAGCUAUAACAUGUCACUGGAGGAAAAAUAAGAAGAAAAAAAAAGGAGGUAAAGAACGAAUACCUGUUUUUUGAAGGAACAGUAGCAGUAGGCAAGAGGAUGCUGAGGAUAAUGUGAAGAGCAAGAAACCAAAGCAGCACAACACAUGUAACAAAGAAGCUAAACAUAGAACUAAACAAUAAAAACGAAAAAAAAUGAUGCAAAGUUAGUGAUCCAAGACAAAAUCUCCAAACUUGCACCUACAACACAUGAAAGCAAACUAAUAAGAAACCUAAAAGGAAAAAAAGAAGACAGAAAAAAGAUGUUAAGAAAAUAGGAGGUCAGCAGUUAAAUAUUUGCAUCUUUUGUUAUUUUUGCCUGAAAAAAUAACACUGUUUUAAAUGUAGAAAUCCCUUUCAAAGAGUAAAAGAGCUUUGACAACUCAGAAUGAAAAAGAUCAAACAGCCAGUAAAUUCUUCUGAUGCCCCAGACCUGUGACAAUGCUUCCUAUUCAGCUGAAGGCAUUUUCUUCAAAGCUAGUUCUGCGGCAUCCUUAAGCUGCAAUUUUUAGUAGGUAAACCAUUAGAAAAUAAAAUGAUGGUUAGCAGUUCCAUAAUAGUACCAUUAAAAUGACAUACACUCAAAUUUGCCUUGACACGAUUCCACAACGGAGGUAUGUCAGUAGAGGGUUUUUUCACAGAAAGCUCUGGAGGCUUUGCAUUCUUGAAAAAGGAAUGUUUCAACAGUUUCUCUGCAGUUGGCCUCUUUUUUAAGGCUUUCACCAAGCACAUUGCAACCAUUUCUCUAAAAGACAGUUCGAAAUUGAGGAAAUGCUUCAGCAAUAAAAACCAUAAGAAUGAGGAAAUGCAGAAGUAGAAACAAACAGAAAGAAUAUGCAAUACAGGAUUGCAGUGGUCUUGUUACAGGACAUAAAAAAAUUACAAAAACCAGAACAAUUGCUUAUGGUCCACAGUUCAAUUCAGCAUCAAGCUUAGUUUAAUUCCAGAAGUGAAGCAAUAAAUAAAAACAAGGGGGGAACAGAUAGUGUAACAUGUUAAUGUCAUCCCUAACCCAUGUAUUUUAAUAGUCAUUCAAGAAGGCAAAAAAAAAAGAGAGAGAGAGAGAAAGAGAAAGAACAAAGAAAAAAAAUAUAUCGCAUCUUACCAUUUUUCUCAAUAAGCAUCACGACCAUAUGCUAACUUAGUUUGUUAUUAUCCCAAAAUAUGUCUACCAACUGUGUAUUCCCACUUAAUCCAGAUGCCUUGUCAGCUGGCAUGAAUGAAAACCCAUCUAGAAGCUUCAUGCACUUCAAUCCCCAUUUAACCAUCAAGAACUCAAUCAGGUGAUGCCCACUGUUUACAGUAAAAAGAGGAAUAAAAAAUUAACAUAAACCUGUGAUACACCCAAGCGCGGUACCAAAUGUCCUUUAGCCAAGAAAAAAUCAGGAAUUGAAAAUCCAUAACCAUCUUCUGUUGUGGUAAGCUGUUAUAAAAACCGAAGAGGGAGAAUUUUGGAGCAAAAAUGCCACAGUAGGAAAAAGAUAAUCAAAUGCUUCAAAGUGCAUGCGUGGUAAAAACAUCUUUCCAGUUAAGUGAUAUGUGAAACAAAACCAAAAAAGUCACCAUAUUGGGAAGAGAAAAACAGGGACAAACCUACUACUUGUUUCAUAUAGGACAUCAGCUCCAAGGAUAAUAUUUGGGCACACGGUGAAUAUCUGUUCAUCCCAAACACGCCAUGUAAGUCCCAGCACCUUGCAAUACAUAUAAAUAUGACCAAUUAUAAGUUUAUUGGGCUCUAGUCAAACGUGGCUUCAGAAACUAAGUAUGCAAUGCAUCAUUUAUCUGUGAAGAACUGAAGAUGCAUCAUAUAAGCUAGCGAGUUAAAAUCUACUACUAUCAAAUAAAAAAUCAUUCCAUACUUUGCAUGUCACAUUAUUCAGCCCACAUUCUCUCCUCAUAUUAGCCAGCACCUGCACAUGUCAAGAACAAAACUGAAGCAAGUAGAGAUGUAACAAAACUACAAGACACAGAAAUUACUCUAAACUAUAAGCCAAACUCCUAAAAAAUAAAUGUCUAAAACAGCAUUAAAAAAAAGACAACGAAGCAAAAGCGCUUAGAUAAUAAUAGUCCAAAACACAUAAAUCUGUAGCAAGAAACUCGCCGAGGCAAUUUUCCUGAAAACUCAUCCAAGCUGUUUUUUGUCCCGAAAAACUGCAAAAAUCUCUUCUAAACUUGAAAAUCAAGAAGGCUACCGAUAAAUAAAAAUAGUUCAAGCAAAAAAACAACAAUAGGCUAUUGAUUUAAAAAAUCAUUGAUAAAAACUCUUAAACAUAACCUCAAACCUGAAAAAGAUGGCUCCUUUAUCAUUGAUCCCUCGCUCUAUUGGGAAAAAACAAAAAAAACCCACAACACGGUUUCUUUAGAAAGCAAAAAAAUGUACAAAAGAACUCGGGCAUAAGAAAGUGGAGGAAUUAGAAGAAUCAACACUUUUUCCUCUUUCCUUUAUUUUAUUUUAAUCAAAACAUUUUUUUCUGCUCAACUGAUUUUUUCACCAUCUAUUCUCCCGUAACAAAAGGGAGAUGGAAGAAGAGAAGAGAAUAGGAAAGUUGAAUUUGAUGGGGAUCUCUUCACAUAUCUCAUAUUGACCACAACUUCGGGAAUGCACAAUGGGUAAUGUAUGACAGAGAAAGGCUAAAGAAUGGAUAGGACUGAGUGGUCAUCUCAAGUCCAUCGCUUCUAGCAAAAGGCAUAGAUGAUUGAUUGAUUAAAAAAGGAAAUGGAGAAACAAAGGGGAGAGGAUGGCUGGAGUGGUUGGGGUUGGUGGAGCUUUCCAGUGAAGAGUCUGAAGACCAAGGCACGAAAGAAAGAAUGAAAGAAAGAGAAAAAAAGGUCAUGUGGAGCAAAAGGGGACUUGGUUGGAGCCGGUAGAGAAGAGUCUGAUGAGUGGGACCUCAACCAAUCGCCUGCAGAAAACCACAGUAGAGCUAAACAGUGGCAAGGAAAGAGACAGAAGCAAGCCUGGGACGGAAGGAAGGAUGAAGUGCAACGACCACACAAACAAAAAUUCACUUGCAACGAAGGCAAAAUCGUCGCCAAUCCCCUAAUGCCACGUCACCAUCGAGCCAAUCUCCUCUCACCACGCGGAGGACGACCACGUCCGACGUGGAUCCCGUGGCUUCGCCCUUAGUCUAUAUGGUUAAUAAUAAUGAAGGUUUUCAUCGGGUAGCGGCUCCAUUUUAUCCUUUGGGUGAACCAUGGUAGUAUUAUUUUAAGGGUUAAUUAUAAUUUGCCUCCUUGAAUUUGGGUCCUUGUAACACUUUGCCCUCGCCUAAACUCCAAAUAUAUACACUUUAUACUUUGUGAUUAACUUUUUGAUCGGGUUGAAAUAAAGUUAUAUUUUUCAUUACCAAAAUGUCUCUAACUAGUUCUUAAACAAGCGUAAUAAUUGUAACAUAAUAAAUACCUAUUUCUUUAAUAGUUGUUAAAUGUGUCUAAACACAAUUACACUAUGUAUUUCGAUCUUUUAGCGCUAAAACGAAUUAGAUAAUUCACAAAAAAACAAAAUUCUAAGCAACUUAACGAAAUUAUCUCAAUGCAUAUAGCAAUACUUAUUUUAAAGAAAAUAAAAUUAAUUAGCGCAUUUGGACUGAAAAAAUAGUGCUUAUAUUUUUUUUUUAUUAUAGACCUUUUUAAUGUGUUUCAUAUGAUAUAAAAAAUGAUUACAAAUAAAAAUGUAUUAAAAAAUAUAUAGAGAAUUUUUAUUUUUUAAAAAUGUUGAAUUCAAACAAAAUACAAAGCAAGGUAUGAAUGUGGCAUAAAAUUAUCAAAUAGCAUUUUAUUGACUUGUGAAAACUGCAAGAUAAAUGAAAAUUAUCAAAACUAAUCUAUUUACAAUUUGAAAGAAGAAAGAUAAGCGAUGGAAAACUUAUGCAAAAGCUUUAGGAAUCUUUAAAUUCUUUUUUUAGGAAGAAUUUAAAGAAUUUAAGAUUUUAAGUUUUAGGAAGAAUUUAAACUUAUGCAGAAGUUUUAGGAAUCUUUGAAUGCUUUUUUUCUCCACAAUAUAAUUUUUCAACUCUUUGGUAUUAUACCAUCUUUUAUUUUUAUUUUUUUUUUAAAUCAUGUGACUUUGUGUUUUUUCUAAUAAGAUGUUUCAUAUUCGGAUUAAAAGAAUAGCAUUAUUUUAGAACUAUUAUGUAAGGGCAUUAACGCCAUUUUGUUAAAAUUUAGGAUGAAUAAUUCAUCAUUAAUGUUUGAUUAGUCAAUAAAGUGUUAUAAAAUAGCAUAUUAUCAAGAAAUUAGUAGAUUACACCUAUAAAAUGGAAAAUGGAAGCUCAAAAAAAAUAAAUGAAAAGUCCCAAAAUGUUGUGAAACUAAUAACAUAAUAUACUAAAUGUAGGGAAUGAAAGAGUAAUAUUUCAAAGGUUACAAAUGAGAUUUAUAUACCCUCUAUUUAUAAAUAAGUGAUACAAGGUGAAAGGUACAUAUACCAAAACUAAUAAAAUACAUGAAUCUAGUACUUCAAAUAUAUGAAUUGAAUGGUUUCAUAUAUGAACUAAUAAACUACGAGAACAUACAUAAGUAUAUCAAUUACCCUUAUUUGUAGGUAGGGGAAUAAAUAUUCUGAUGCAUCUCCUUUAAGAAAUGAAUGUAACAUUUCAUUAAUUUUAUAACACAAAACUUCAAUUACCUCACUGCAUGAGAGUUGAGAAAUCUUUUUAAAUCAUUUUGAAGUUACAACUUUCUGUUUUUGGUCAAUCUUGAGAGUGAAAUCUUUUGUAAAUAUUCAAAAGUUUCUUGCGUCCCAUUUUCCACAGAAAGCGACUCACCACUCACCACGUGCCAACCCAGUCAAGACUGUAGAAAAUGUUUGGAAAAAAAAAAUGUCAGCAAUCAAUUUCCACACUAAAAAUUGGCCUUGUUCGGAACUUUGAAUUGCAUUUUUGCAGAAAAAUUUUUCUUACAUCUUUCGACCACAUUUUUAUGUGAGUAAAUCUUAUAUAAACUGAUUGUAUAUACGUAAUUAUCACCGUUAAAUUUAUAAUAUAUGUAUAAAAGUUGAAUUUCAAAUUCAAAUUUUAUAUAGAUGUCAUUCAUUCAAUGCUACUGUCAGUGUGUAGAAAAAGUUAAUCCUUUUUAUAUCACCUAUAAUCGCAUCUUACAAAAAGUGUUAAGUCAAUUUUUUUUUUCAAAAUAUUGCAAUCGAAAGGGACUUUUUCCAAGCUUGGUAAUUAAAUAUAAUUUAGUAUGUAGUAUAUGUACAUAUCACAUUUAUUUAUUAUAUCUAUCUUUACAUUUAAAUACUUUCACAAAUUUUAAAUUUAACUUCUAUUGAAUUGAAAAAAUAAAUACCAGAGCCAGAAGGCACUUCGCACUUUGAUCGCCCAAUCCUUUAUUAAAUUGUAGUAAACUAAUAUCAGCAUCCAAAUUAUUCAAAAACCCUAGUCCUCGCAUCACCUCCUCCUUCUCCUUUUCAAAUCAUAGCCACAAACACAAUCUCCCAGCGCUCUCCUUUCGGCGCCGCCGUCGCCGUCAUUUGCCCGCGUGUUAUUCUCGCCGGAAUCAGACGAAAUGCCCUCUCCCAUCACCCCGGCCCAAACCUCCGCCGCCAAUUUCCAUCUCUUCACCACCUCCAAUACCAUCAUCACUACAUUCACCGGCAUUCUCAUUACAACGUCGAUUAUUACGAUCAUCCCAUAUUUCUGAAGAUAAAAUUACCCCUUUAUUCCUUCAAAAAAUAUAUAAUAAUUCCAGAAAGUCCUCCGGUUUUUUGCUUAUUUUAUUAGUCAAUUUGUGGGAUUUCUCUACCUUGUUGAGAUGUCAACUGUUUACCAACAAUUGCCAGCCUUAAAGAGCCUGAGGGACUCAUCUCCAGUCGGUUUGCCUCGUCCCAUUGUCUAUAAAAGGUUUAAUAAUCUAAUCAGAGUCCUUGUCUUAUUUAUUUGUCUUUUUUAAUUUCCACUCAUUAUAAAAAUUUCAACAAAGCUACAAUCUUUUUUUAUAAUGUACUCGUUUUAUCAGUGGCCUAAUACAUGUUUUAUUUCAUUUCUUUUGCGUAUGGAACUUUAUUUAUCAUCUCAUUAAAGUGAGUGUCUGCAGAAUUAUAUAGGAUACGUGUGUUUUGAGAAAAGCAGAAAAUGUUACCUACUGAUAGCGUGACAUAAUCACUUAAAACAACUUUUGCUGAUUUGUUUCGUGACCUUGUGGUCUCUUUAUAUAUCAAGACUUAUAAAAUAUGGUCCUGAAAGAUGUCCGAUGACUAAACUUGUGAUAAGAUGUGUUGUGAUUUGCGUUAGUAUGUAAAAGGAGUGGCUUACAGGUUUCACUUUGAUUCUGCACAAGUGAUUGUCAAAAAAAUGGAAUGAAUAUUUGAUUGCAGAACAUGGCUUCACGCAUUUGAUGGUCACAAUUUUAUCCUAUGUGCAAUGAUGCUUGUUUGUGGGUAUACCUUCCAGCCUGUUUUUUGGGGGUUUCUGUCGUCAGUUGUAGGAAACAUUGGAAAUGAUAGAGGGUAGAAAUUACUUCUAUGGAACUGAUUACCAAGACAUGGGAAAUCAUUGUUCCCUUUCCCAUAGCUAACGUAGGUAAUGGUGAAUGAAUAUGAUCCUGCUUGUAUGACAAACAUAUUAGGGCAACUGGGCAAGUAGGUUAACCAUAGUUUAGUUCUGUAUGUGUUUGCCAUUCUUUGUGUGUUCUUGGGAGUUAUUAACCUGUUUCAAUGAAGAUGAAGUUGUGGAGAAUAGCUAUGACUUUUUCCUACUGCUUAGCAUGAUAAGUAAUUGGAGAAGUCCAUCUUCUUGUAGCCAGGAUUUUUAUUCUACCUAAUACCUACUACUGUUUCUGUCAAGCAGGAGGAAUGCAAGGUGGAGGUCUCCUGAAGCAGCUGUUAUUUCUAGUUUUCAUCUCCCAAUGCGCAGUUUUGAAGUUAAGAAUAGGUUUGAAUUAUGACUUAAUCUUUAUUCUCUUUAUUUUCAUCAAGUGUCUUGAAUUUAGGAUUUGGGUAACAGUUGAAUCGGUACUGAGCAUUUUACAUUCUGGAACGAGUUUUUUUUCCAAAGAUAUUUAUGUCUUGCAUCUCUUUCUUCUGAACUAUCAAUUUAUCGUGAUAGAAGGGGAGAUGAAGGUGGUAUUACAGGGAUGAUUGAUUAGAAAUAAACUUAAGACUGGUCCAGGGUAUUUUGAUAUAUUAUAUGGCGUAAGUUUAGAUUGAAAUAGCAUAUUUGCUUGAAUGAAAGAAUUUUAUUUGGAAUCACUCCCACUCCCUAAUCUGGUGAUUUCAAAAAUGUUCUUUCUCAGAGAUGCUUAUGAUUCAAAAGGGCAGUAGUAGAAAAGUUUGUUGCUAGUUUUUAAAAAUUUUCUAUGCGCAGAUUGUCAGAAAGCAUUAUUACAUUAUCAGUGUAGUAAUAAAAAUAUGAAAGCUUGCAUGCAAACGUUUUAGUCAGGCUUCUUAGCUGCUAAUGGCGUUGAUGCUGGUAACCAACAAAGUAUAAGGAAUUAAUGUUUGCGCGACACAUGCAUUGGUUUCAUCUACUUAUAUUAAUCCAGGUUUUAUGCAUGCAUGUGUAUGUGCUUUAUACAUGGAGCAUAAGGUACCAAAUCAGAGUUGUCUGUGAUUGCUGUAGUAUGUAGGAAGUUAGCAAAAAGAUUAUGUCAAAUUAUAGAGAAUGCUUGUAGCUAGUCUACAUAUCUGGGAUUGCUUGCUGACUUUAUUGAAGUAGAAAAGCUCGGUAUAGACUGAGAAACUAAUGAAGUUGUCCUUUUGGAGAGAGGGAGGGAGGGAGGGAGGGAGAGAGAGAGAGAGAGAAGGGUGGGGGUUCCAGCGCUGCUAAUGAUGUAACACUUUGUAUUGUUGCCAGGACUUUUGCUGAGGAUAUUAAGUCUCUGAGACUGAUUACAGCCAUUAAAACACCAUAUCUACCAGAUGGCAGGUUUGACCUCGAGGCUUAUGACUCCUUAGUGAACAUGCAAAUUGAAAAUGGAGUUGAGGGUGUGAUUGUUGGUGGGACUACUGGGGAAGGUCAAUUAAUGAGCUGGGAUGAACAUAUUAUGCUUAUUGGUCACACAGUUAACUGCUUUGGUGGGUCAAUCAAAGUCAUAGGAAACACUGGGAGCAACUCUACAAGGGAAGCCAUCCAUGCCACAGAACAAGGUUUUGCUGUUGGCAUGCAUGCAGCUCUUCACAUUAAUCCUUACUAUGGUAAAACUUCCAUAGAGGGCAUGAUAUCUCACUUUGAUAGUGUGCUUCCUAUGGGCCCUACAAUCAUAUACAAUGUGCCAUCCCGUACUGGCCAGGAUAUUCCACCAUCAGUGAUUUUUGCUGCUGCAGAGAGCCCUAACCUGGCAGGUGUCAAAGAAUGUGUUGGAAAUGAUAGGGUUGAACACUAUACAAGUAAGGGGAUUGUCGUCUGGAGUGGCAAUGACGAUCAGUGCCAUGACUCUAGGUGGGAUCAUGAUGCCACUGGUGUGGUUUCUGUUGCCAGCAACCUGGUUCCUGGUCUAAUGAGAGAACUCAUGUUUGCUGGGAAGAACCCGGCUCUAAAUUCAAAGCUUAUGCCUCUCAUUGAAUGGCUUUUUAAGGAACCAAACCCCAUUGGUUUGAACACUGCUCUUGCUCAGCUUGGUGUUGUGAGACCAGUUUUUCGCCUGCCAUAUCUCCCUCUUCCUUUGUCAGAAAGGCUGGAGUUCGUGAAUAUGGUGAAAGAGAUUGGACGGCAACAUUUUGUGGGGGAGAGAGAUGUUCAGGCUUUAGAUGAUGACGACUUCAUUUUGGUGGGGCGAUAUUAGCUGGUAGUAUCAAGAUUUGGAUUUUGGUUUUGCUCUUCGUCUGUGCCUGUACGUUGUUCCUCUAUGUAUUUCCUGCUAGAUUUUAAUGGCAAGUUUGGAAUUUUCUUUCCUUUUUUUGGGUUUUGGUGUAAAUUAAUUGCCAGCAUUGCACUCGGAAAAGUAUCCAAAAGUUGAAGGCAGAACCAUGUACAAGAGAACCAUUUCCUUCAAUAACCACCAAAUUAACUUGCCAUUUUUGUAAUUCACUAUUUUUUUUUCUUGUGAUACAAUCAUACAAACUAAUGAAAAGGGAACGGAAGAAAAAGUUAAAAAACUUGAGUAAACAAAAGUAGUUUCCAUUAUAUCCAACACUAAGCAACAUUACAAAGUAUAAACCUUUAAUUCUCGCUGUUAGAGACUUGAGAGAUAUCAACCAAUUCUUGAAAUUUUAAUCAUAUUCCAAAAAUGACUAGAUUUGGAUUUUUAAAGGACGAAAAACUAUAGGAAAUAAAAGAACAAGAGAAACUAUCUGCUCAUGAGAGACAGAAAUAUGCAGCAUAGUG
rnacentral:lncRNA from 1 species